UGGGGAAUUUUGGACAAUGGGGGAAACCCUGAUCCAGCCAUCCCGCGUGUGCGAUGAAGGCCUUCGGGUUGUAAAGCACUUUUGGCAGGAAAGAAACGUCGCGGGUUAAUACCCCGCGAAACUGACGGUACCUGCAGAAUAAGCACCGGCUAACUACGUGCCAGCAGCCGCGGUAAUACGUAGGGUGCAAGCGUUAAUCGGAAUUACUGGGCGUAAAGCGUGCGCAGGCGGUUCGGAAAGAAAGAUGUGAAAUCCCAGAGCUUAACUUUGGAACUGCAUUUUUAACUACCGGGCUAGAGUGUGUCAGAGGGAGGUGGAAUUCCGCGUGUAGCAGUGAAAUGCGUAGAUAUGCGGAGGAACACCGAUGGCGAAGGCAGCCUCCUGGGAUAACACUGACGCUCAUGCACGAAAGCGUGGGGAGCAAACAGGAUUAGAUACCCUGGUAGUCCACGCCCUAAACGAUGUCAACUAGCUGUUGGGGCCUUCGGGCCUUGGUAGCGCAGCUAACGCGUGAAGUUGACCGCCUGGGGAGUACGGUCGCAAGAUUAAAACUA
rnacentral:rRNA from 1 species